rnacentral:rRNA from 1 species
UACGAAGGGGGGCUAGCGUUGCUCGGAAUCACUGGGCGUAAAGGGUGCGUAGGCGGGUCUUUUAAGUCAGGGGUGAAAUCCUGGAGCUUAACUCCAGAACUGCCUUUGAUACUGAGGAUCUUGAGUUCGGGAGAGGUGAGUGGAACUGCGAGUGUAGAGGUGAAAUUCGUAGAUAUUCGCAAGAACACCAGUGGCGAAGGCGGCUCACUGGCCCGAUACUGACGCUGAGGCACGAAAGCGUGGGGAGCAAACAGG